rnacentral:rRNA from 1 species
CGAGAAUACCCGGCGAAUUUAAGCAUAUUACUAACCGGAGGAAAAGAAACCAACAGGGACGUCCUCAGUAGCGGCGAGCGAAGCGGACGAUGCCCAAACCGAACCGCGGUUCCCGAGGGGGCCGCGGAGUGUGGAGAGGAUGAGCUCGCGAGGGGGCGGGACGGGUUCCAAUCCGUCUGGAAGGGCGGAGGCACGGAGGGCGAUUCCCCGUACGUGCUCGGUCCGUCCCCGACGAGCGAACGCAUCGGAGAGUCGGGCCGCUUGAGAGUGCAGCCCGAAUGGGGUGAUAGGUCUCAUCCAAGGCUAAGUACGUGGGAGACGCCGAUAGCGAACAAGUACGGCGACGGAAAGGUGAAAAGAACCUCGAAAGGGGGGUCAAAAGCGCUCGAAAUCGUAGAGGGGGAAGCGGACCUGACCGACGAGACCUCGUCGUCGCUCGCGCUCGCCACGCUUCGUCGCGGAGUUCCGGA